GGUUGCUGGUGUUUGCGGGUUGCAGGGAGCCGGGCCGGCGGUCGGGCUGUGUCGCGAUGCUGGAGCUGGCGGUGCAGAAGGUGGUGGUUCACCCCCUGGUGCUGCUCAGUGUGGUGGAUCAUUUCAACCGAAUUGGCAAGGUUGGAAACCAGAAGCGGGUAGUUGGUGUGCUUUUGGGAUCAUGGCAAAAGAAAGUACUUGAUGUGUCCAACAGUUUUGCAGUACCUUUUGGUGAAGAUGACAAAGAUGAUUCUGUCUGGUUUUUAGACCAUGAUUAUUUGGAAAACAUGUAUGGGAUGUUCAAGAAGGUCAAUGCCAGAGAAAGGAUAGUUGGGUGGUACCACACAGGCCCCAAACUACACAAGAAUGAUAUCGCCAUCAAUGAACUCAUGAAGAGAUACUGUCCCAACUCAGUAUUGGUCAUUAUCGACGUGAAGCCAAAGGACCUGGGACUUCCCACCGAAGCCUACAUCUCAGUGGAGGAAGUUCAUGAUGAUGGGACACCAACAUCAAAAACUUUUGAGCAUGUGACUAGCGAGAUUGGAGCAGAGGAGGCGGAGGAAGUCGGAGUGGAGCACUUACUAAGAGACAUCAAGGACACUACAGUGGGGACUCUCUCCCAGCGGAUCACAAACCAGGUCCAUGGCUUGAAGGGACUGAACUGCAAGCUCCUGGAUAUCAGGAGCUACCUGGAGAAGGUAGCCAGCGGCAAGCUGCCCAUCAACCACCAGAUCAUAUACCAGCUGCAGGACGUCUUCAACCUGCUGCCGGACUCCAGCCUGCAGGAGUUCGUCAAGGCCUUCUACCUGAAGACCAAUGACCAGAUGGUGGUGGUGUACCUGGCCUCGCUGAUCUGCUCUGUGGUCGCCUUGCAUAACCUCAUCAACAACAAGAUUGCCAACCGGGAUGCCGAGAAGAAGGACGGACAGGAAAAGGAGGAGAGCAAGAAGGAGAGAAAAGACGACAAAGAGAAGGAGAAGAGCAACACGGCAAAGAAAGAAGAGAAAAAAAGGAGAAAAAGUAAAUGGUGUAGCUUUUUAAUUAGUGAAUUAAAAUCUUAUAACCGUAACUCCGUGUGCCACUAA